UACGUAGGGUGCGAGCGUUAAUCGGAAUUACUGGGCGUAAAGCGUGCGCAGGCGGUUUUGUAAGCCAGAUGUGAAAUCCCCGGGCUUAACCUGGGAAUGGCAUUUGGGACUGCAAGGCUGGAGUGUGGCAGAGGAGACUGGAAUUCCCGGUGUAGCAGUGAAAUGCGUAGAUAUCUGGAGGAAUACCGGUGGCGAAGGCGGCUCUCUGGGACGGUACUGACGCUGAGACGCGAAAGCGUGGGGAGCGAACAGG
rnacentral:rRNA from 1 species